rnacentral:rRNA from 1 species
GAGUUUGAUCUUGGCUCAGAACAAACGCUGGCGGCGUGCCUAAUACAUGCAAGUCGAACGGGGAAAGUAGCAAUACGAGUACUAGUGGCGCACGGGUGAGUAACACGUAGGUAAUCUUCCUCGAAGCGUGGGAUAACUAGUCGAAAGAUUAGCUAAUACCACAUAAGACCACAGGAUCUGCGGAUCUAGGGGUCAAAGGUUUUUCGCUUUGAGAUGAGCCUGCGCAAGAUUAGCUAGUUGGUGAGGUAAUGGCUCACCAAGGCUACGAUCUUUAACUGGUCUGAGAGGAUGAUCAGUCACACUGGAACUGAGACACGGUCCAGACUCCUACGGGAGGCAGCAGUAGGGAAUAUUGCACAAUGGAGGAAACUCUGAUGCAGCGACGCCGCGUGAGUGACGAAGGACUUCGGUUCGUAAAGCUCUGUUGCACGGGAAUAAGAAAGUGAAUGUGCCGUGUGAGG